rnacentral:rRNA from 1 species
GGGGCAUCAUGAGGUAGCAAUACCUUGAUGGCGACCGGCGCACGGGUGAGUAACGCGUAUGCAACCUGCCUGAUACCGGGGUAUAGCCCAUGGAAACGUGGAUUAACACCCCAUAGUACUUUUAUCCUGCAUGGGAUGUGAGUUAAAUGUUUAAGGUAUCGGAUGGGCAUGCGUCCUAUUAGUUAGUUGGCGGGGUAACAGCCCACCAAGACGAUGAUAGGUAGGGGUUCUGAGAGGAAGGUCCCCCACAUUGGAACUGAGACACGGUCCAAACUCCUACGGGAGGCAGCAGUGAGGAAUAUUGGUCAAUGGACGAGAGUCUGAACCAGCCAAGUCGCGUGAGGGAAGACUGCCCUAUGGGUUGUAAACCUCUUUUAUAAGGGAAGAAUAAGUUCUACGUGUAGAAUGAUGCCUGUACCUUAUGAAUAAGCAUCGGCUAACUCCGUGCCAGCAGCCGCGGUAAUACGGAGGAUGCGAGCGUUAUCCGGAUUUAUUGGGUUUAAAGGGUGCGUAGGCGGUUUAUUAAGUUAGUGGUUAAAUAUUUGAGCUAAACUCAAUUGUGCCAUUAAUACUGGUAAACUGGAGUACAGACGAGGUAGGCGGAAUAAGUUAAGUAGCGGUGAAAUGCAUAGAUAUAACUUAGAACUCCGAUAGCGAAGGCAGCUUACCAGACUGUAACUUGACGCUGAUGCACGA